UAGGAUUUUUUUCUUCGCUUACAAUUAUU
rnacentral:sRNA from 1 species